UAAAACAGAAAUUAUUGUUCAUCUAUUAUCACCUUAUGAAACGAAAGAAACUUUUUGGACAACCUAAUACAUUAUCUCAUUCACGAAUUCCAAUUAAGCGAAGUUUGCUGUAUCUUGAAUCCAUGCAAUACAUAUAUAAUAUUUGUGCAACGAUCCGUGAGUAAUUCAAUACUUAAAAUAUGUCUGGAAGUAUGAAGUACUGAGGAAUUACAUGUGAAGAUAAGAUGUUACAGAUAAGUAUUUUCUGCCUAUGAAAAAUAGACUUAAAAGGAAUGGACACAAUACUUUGUGGUCUUUUUGACUUAUCUCUUGCAGGUGGUAUAAUUAGGUGAUAUAAUUAGUGUUAAACAGUUAUCUACUUCAACAUUAUGAAGAUGGAAAACUAUAUUUUGAAAAUUAUGAGAUGAUUGUUUUUUGUACCCAGACUUUUCCUGCGAAAGGAGCAGAUUUAUUUGUGUAUGUGCACAAUCAUUGUACGUGCAAUAUUGACUAUCGAAACAACUACUUAUAUCGUUGUAACAGUUGUAAUCUACCAAAGUAUAUAGCUGCUUUAUAUGUGGAUGGUAACAAUAUUAGCAUAACUAUUAAACAUAAUCAAUGUGGACAAAGAUAUCUUACAUCAUACAUGGUAUUUAAUGAUACAAGAAAUGAGUGGGUUCAAUCUGGAUACAUUAAUGUCAUUAAAACAAAUAUUUGAUGAUGUUUCUGGAAAAUUUCCAGAGGUUGCAGCUUAAUGUUCUUUUAACAACUUAAGAUCAGUAUUACUAGAAAGAUAAGCUGGUGUAACAAGCCAUAAAUUGUGCAAUUGUUGGAUAUUUUGUACAAGCGAUUACAAACGAACCAGUCUCUAGAAUAUAUAAAAAUACAUUAUACAGGUCAGUAAUAGAGGAAGAUGCAAUAAUAUUGUCGACUGAUAUUUUAUUAAAAGAUUUUUAUGCAAAGGUAAGGAAUUGUUCCUUGAUGUUAUGUAGCAUAUGGCAUAAUAUUACUCCUAAUAUUGUUGUACAUAUGUCAUAACAAUGUCUUUGCUUCUACUAUCUGAGACGAAAUUUCAGGAAGGAUUAUUAAUUAUAGAAAAAGAGGCAAAUAUUGUAUAAAACAAUUUUUCUAAUAUUCAAAAACCAAUGUUUCGAAACCAAAGUCGAGUUCAAUAGCAAGCCAACUGCCAUUAAAGAAAGAAACCUGCUAUGUGUGUGUGAGCGAUUUACACACGCUCCCCAGUAUGAAGAAAGACUAAGGAAGUAAAAAUCAAAACCGCGUAUGCUUGCUUGUUCCAAGGCUUCAGAAACACGCAGGGGUAUGAAAACACAAGGCUCGCUUUCUCGGCGAUCAUGUUUCCUUUAUUUAUUUACAUCAGAUUUACUUGUUACUUGAACUACUUAGGUGCUGCGUACUGUCCGCCAAAAAUAGCAAAUUGCUCAAAAUAGAAAUACGUUUGAUUUUUUGUUGCAAGCUGUCGAGUUCCUUUCACCUCACUUUUUUUAAAUUUCUCAGUUUCAGUCCGCAAAGUCUUCUCCCUGCAUUAAGCUAGUGUACGUCAGUAUGCAAAUUUUUUUUUUUUUAUUUAUUUCCUAAUAUUCACAAUUUGUCUAAUUUAGACAUUAGGUCGAAUAUUUUAGCAGUUAUAUUAACAUGUAGGUGGCUACCCCCACGGGGGUACCAUCCUCGCAUUUGCUAGAUUAUAUUCUUUGUGAGGUCUGCUGGGUGCUUCCUUUUUAGCCUUCCAGUAUGCAAUUGUCAAUCUUCGUAAUCAGCAUUAAUAUCUUGUGAACAACCUUUCUACUUUCGGUGCAUCAAUGCUUUAUUUCCGCUUUUUAUUAAAUUAAUCACUUUUGCCACUAUUUUCAUUGUUGUAUUAUUGUUGUAUAUUAUUAUUGUAUUAGUAUUGUUGUAUUUAAUAUUAACGUUUUCCCACAUAACGCUUUCCACUAGCUUGCUUGUCUCGCUGUUGAUACAUUCGGAUAGACUGCAGAUUAUAUAGGAGAGGAAAUAGAUGUCUUAAUUUUAUUAAAAGUUGGAACAAGGUAUUAGUACUUAGGUAUUAGUACGUUGUGGCGGAACGUGCAUUGAGAAGAAACAUCUGAAAAGGUAAUGGUUCGCUCGUCGCAUCAUCCGGCGAUUUUUUUUAGCUGUAUGUGCAUUGCAUCCGUUGGUCUACUUUCUGCAUGUAAUGUGUUGAUGUUUUGAAUGCAAUUGCUGUCUGCCAACAUAAAUUAUAUUAUUAAAUUAACUGUCGGAAGACGUAGAAUAUAUAAAAUGGGCGGUAUUCUACGCAAACGUUGAACAUCCUAUUUACUCGUUCGCAUACACGAGCGGGUUAGAAGUCACCGAAUUCUUCUCAAACGACCCGUCUGUCCUCCUCGAGAAUCCUAACAUGUACAUUUUCCUUCACGACUCUCUUCUCGCAUGAUAAAAUCUCAUUCCAAUUCUCAUACCAACGACCGGCUAUAGUGACUGACUGCUUCUGAAAUAUUUUGUUACUUGAAGUAUAAUGAAACGAUUAAAUCCCCUUCAAAACUGAAUAUAAAAUACAAGUAAGCUGAAUGUGCUUUUAACAAAAAUAGGGCCAGAGGCAAUUGUUGGUAAUGGGAUAACGAAUUUUCCUUUCUUUGUCCCUUCUAAGAUAACUUGAAAGCACGAUCUCACUGGAUUUCAGCUCACUUUGAAAGAGAUUUACGCGCGUUUCCUCUCUUAUUUGAACUGCCUUUUUGUCGAAGAAUUAGACUAAUGAAGUGAUAAUUUGUUUUGUAUAGUAUUUUUGGAAAUUAUCUCUCAUCAAGUAACGGCCAAUUAUUAUGAAGAAUAUCUUGUCAUUGUUUUUUACACUCGUUUAUCUAGUACGUUGCAAAAAAUUGUCUCUAUUGAUGUAUAAUCACCGCGUAAGUUUCUUUUUUGAGAAAUAAACAUAAUGUAUCCUGAUACGAUGGCUAUAUAUCUAUUUGUUUUAAUUUUCUUAUCAAGUAUCGUGAUUCGAAACUUAAUGAUACGUUAUUAAUUACAAACAGAGGUUUCUGAAAUUUAGUUCUAGUAUUACUUUUACUAGGAUGAGAAAAUACCAUUAUAGUAAUUCUAUUGUAUUUCUUGCAAAAAAAUAUUUAAUUGUAUAGAUUUAAUUUAAUUUAAUUAUUUUCAAUUGGAAAAUUUUGAUUCUAAAUAUUCUUUCUGAACGAUUCUGAAUAUUCCUCUUUUAAACUUUCAUAAUUUUCUUUUAAUAUGUUUAAAAGUUCUUCACAGCUAUAUCGUAUAUUAGUUUUUACUUUCAUAACAGCUGACAAUAUAAUUAAUUGUUAAGUUCAUUGUUGCAGACUAUUUCCGAGCAGACCAAUAAACGUCGAUCAACGAAAAAAAACUUUUUCCACAUCUGUAUUUGUUUCAGAAAGGCUCAUUAAAAGUUCGAUAAUUAUUCUUGUAUCUUUUAAAGGAAUAGGUUGACUUUCAAAAUACUAAAUUUAUUACAUACAAUUGAUAAUGAUAUUCUAAUGAUAAUUCUAAUAAUAAUUCUUCCUAAGUAAUACUAAAUGCAGGACAUAAUCAGUGCAUAACAACUUUGCAGUACAAUUGUCGAGAAAGCAGUACCGUACUGCAAAAUGGGGUACGGAUGGUCACCUCGUUUAAAGGGAAUAUUUCACGCUAAAAAAGCAAAACCUUGUCAAUUGAUUUAAAAUGUGAUUUUGAACAAAUAGUGCCAACUUUAACAUUUGAACAUUAUAGAUUUAUAUGUACGUAUUGUUAUACAUGACUGCGCAAGGAUCGCGCGCAGGUUCCAUGUUGUAUCUAGGAUUGUAGCCAAUCAACAAGCAAAACUAACGCUAUAAUAACAGAAGACCGGUUCGUACAUUCGCCUUUUCGGUUCGGAUGUGGUAAGAUGUAUAUCGUGUAGAAGAUAUAAUUUUGUACCUGCCACGCGUAUAUCAGUUAGUAAUAAAUAUUAAGUGAAGAAUUACGCAUUUAAUUUGUUACAUUUUCAUUAAGCACAAAUACGAAAAGAUGUAAAAUCGUUCAUUGCUUUAUUCAAGAGCUUCCGAAGUCUUUGGGUCUCCAGAAACAUGCGGAUUUAAAACGAGUCAAGCAAAUCUAUUCCUCUGUAAGGCAUAUCGUUAUAUAUCUAAUUUUAUGCUGAAAUGCUAAACAUUACCCAGUUUUCGUCUUUUUGUAUAUCCUUUACCUGGACAUCGCCGCUACGAAGGAAAUAGAAUUUAGUGAAGUAAAAAAUAAAAAAGUCAAUAUUAUUGUGCCCUUGAAUACGAAUGUUGUUUGAAUUACAAGGUCCAGAAAUAAAAAUCUAUAAGUAGAUUUUUAUUACUGUCUCUUGUAACUUUCAGUUAGAGUUAUAUACCAAGGUUAAUUUUUUUGCAAUGUCCUUUGUUGUAAAUAUAUCAACACGCUAUUGCUAUCACCUUCACGCUCGAACAGAGAAAGUUCCUUUGUAAAUAUGUCGACAUCGCUCUUAAGAGUAUGAAAGAAAUUAGCGAUGUUAAAUGAAGAAAAUAUUUUGUUUUAUAAACAAACGAUUUUAUUUUUCUGGUACAUGAGAUAAUUCACGGCAUGACCCUUCUUAAAUCGUUGAAUUACGAUUGCUACGUUCAUGGAAUACCAAGUGAAAACUGUAGAUCUAAUUAUAAUAUAGAAGUGGAACGUCGUUUCGAAUGCGACCGAUGAGCAAUAUUCGACAUUUUAUAUUUUUAUUAAUUCUGCAGAGAAUAAAUAAGUGUGUCUUUCAGCUAAAAGGUUUUUAUCAUACAUAUGUAUUGAUAAUUAAUCUCAUGAAGUUGACCUUAAGAGCCCUAUGUAGAAUAGAUAAACCAAACUCUUGCGUCUCCGUCGCUUUGUUGCGCUUGCUCGCUGCUUUGCGGUCGGAAGAUUUUCCUAGGUACAAACACGUCGUGGGUUUGUGCAUUCCUUUCUAGGUGCUCAAUAUCUUCCGACACGAUGAAGGCGGGUUUUAGACGGUCUACGGAGACUUUCACGCUUUUGUCCUUCACCCGUAUGGUAAAGGUUUUCUCCCCACGCUGUAUAACCUGAUAGGGGCCAUCGCACGGUGGUUGCAGUGGGUCUCCGAUUGCAUCGUGACGUACGAAAACGUACGGCGACGUUUCUAAAUCGCGGAACAUGAACGUUUUCUUUUCGCCGUGUUGUGAAGUCGGCAGAGGUCUAAUCUCGCUCA